GUUCCUGUAGUUGAAUUACAACGGUGUUUCUUCAAGUCAAUAGUCCCGGUUAAAGUCCGAGCAGGAAUU
rnacentral:tRNA from 1 species